rnacentral:rRNA from 1 species
AGAGUUUGAUCCUGGCUCAGAUUGAACGCUGGCGGCAUGCCUUACACAUGCAAGUCGAACGGCAGCACGGGAGCAAUCCUGGUGGCGAGUGGCGAACGGGUGAGUAAUAUAUCGGAACGUGCCCAGUCGUGGGGGAUAACGUAGCGAAAGCUACGCUAAUACCGCAUACGAUCUACGGAUGAAAGCGGGGGACUCGCAAGAGCCUCGCGCGAUUGGAGCGGCCGAUAUCAGAUUAGGUUGUUGGUGAGGUAAAAGCUCACCAAGCCUGCGAUCUGUAGCUGGUCUGAGAGGACGACCAGCCACACUGGAACUGAGACACGGUCCAGACUCCUACGGGAGGCAGCAGUGGGGAAUUUUGGACAAUGGACGAAAGUCUGAUCCAGCAAUGCCGCGUGCAGGACGAAGGCCUUCGGGUUGUAAACUGCUUUUGUACGGAACGAAACGGUCUUCUUUAAUACAGAGGGCUAAUGACGGUACCGUAAGAAUAAGCACCGGCUAACUACGUGCCAGCAGCCGCGGUAAUACGUAGGGUGCGAGCGUUAAUCGGAAUUACUGGGCGUAAAGCGUGCGCAGGCGGUUAUAUAAGACAGAUGUGAAAUCCCCGGGCUCAACCUGGGACCUGCAUUUGUGACUGUAUAGCUAGAGUACGGUAGAGGGGGAUGGAAUUCCGCGUGUAGCAGUGAAAUGCGUAGAUAUGCGGAGGAACACCGAUGGCGAAGGCAAUCCCCUGGACCUGUACUGACGCUCAUGCACGAAAGCGUGGGGAGCAAACAGGAUUAGAUACCCUGGUAGAAGGGC